AGUCCCAGCCUCUUUCAUUAUGUACUGAGAGGUGCCACCCAGGUUUUAGGAAGAAAAUGAAAGAGGGAAAGCCAUUUUGCUGUUAUGAUUGCAUCCCAUGUCCAGAAGGGAAGAUUUCAGAUCAGGAGGGUAAGUAUCUGAUAUACGAGAUCCCUUGAAUCAGGGUAUUAAAGACAGAUCCAGUCAAUAAAAAUGACGGUGCCUUCUGUGUAUCUAUAUAAUGGGUAGUUCUGGUGAUAUCUUAGCAGAGAAGAAAACUUUCAAAGGUAGUGUUUAGUAUCUCCUACACACUGAGGUUUCAAACACAUUACCUGUUUGUUUGCUUUUUUUUAAUUGAAGCUUGUGAUUCCCCUCCCCCCCAACUUAACUGUUCUGGUUCAUGCAUUUGUGAAAUGGACACUUAACUUUUGUAAUGUAGCUUAAGGGGCCCUGCCUUUGAAUUUCACUUCCUUCAAUGGAUGUGAAAUAAGGAGAUCACUCUGUGAUCAUCCAGGACCACAUCGUUUUCAUCAUUUUAUUUUCUACAUGUCUGUUUGUCUGUGUAUUUAUAUAUAUUUAAUUUACUUCUCCCUCCCCCACCUCAUCUCCUCUCUUUCCCAUGCCUGAACUUUUUUGUAACCCCUAGAGGGCUACGAAGAACAACCACCAUUGACUUGUUGGUGUGGCUGGAAACUGUAAAUGCUCAAAAAUUAAUUAAUGAAGGAAGAAGGUGAAAAUAAACAGAAUACAAGAACCAAUCAAAAUGUAUCAAUUACCAAACAUAUGGUUCUUACAUAUUUUAUGGUCAUGACCUAAGAUUAGAUCAUAUUGUGACCAGGUAUUAACUGAAAUAAAUGUCACAAUGUGGUAUGAAGUGUCAAGAGAUGCUCAGCGUAGCUUUAAAGCUACAAAAACACUGACAUUGCUAUAGCAUAUGAACAUAGAACAUUAUCUGUCAGGAAAGAGCAAUUUCAGCAUGUUGCUGAGACUAAGGCUACAUGUUUUCUUUUAUAGACAUGAAUGACUGUAAUAAAUGUUCAGAUGAAGAAUAUCCAAACAAGAACCAGGACAUGUGUAUUCCCAAGGAUAUAAGUUUCUUGUCUUAUGAAGAACCUUUGGGCAUCAGCUUAGCUUGCUUUGCUCUUUCAUUUUCUUUGAUCACUGCUCUGGUUCUGGGAACAUUUAUGAAGCACCACAACACAGCCCUUGUCAAAGCCAACAACCGAGACCUCACCUACAC